rnacentral:rRNA from 1 species
ACGAACCGUCCAAACGUUAUUCGGAAUCACUGGGCUUAAAGGGUGCGUAGGCGGCCCGGCAAGUUGGGUGUGAAAUCCCUCGGCUCAACCGAGGAAUGGCGCCCGAAACUGCCGAGCUAGAGGAAGGCAGAGGUGAGCGGAACUUGCGGUGGAGCGGUGGAAUGCGUUGAUAUCGCAAGGAACACCAGUUGCGAAAGCGGCUCACUGGGCCUUUUCUGACGCUCAGGCACGAAAGCCAGGGGAGCGAACGGG